UUUAAAAGUGUUUCCACGCAUUUUAAAUAAUAAAAAUUAUAUUCCUAUAAUUCCAUUAUUUACAUUACAUUAUAUAUCUUUUAUUUUAGGUGCCGAUGAAAUAUACAAUCCCACUUGGUAUGCCUACGAAAUCAUGGAGUCAUUCUUACUGCAAGUAUAUACUUGUAAUGAAGGGUUAAACACCGAAACUCAAUCACAACAAAUAGAAGAAAUUACAGAUCAGACAGAGGAUGAUCCUCUGAUAAGAGACCGCACCAGUACGGCUACCACACCAUCCAGACCACCAUCUAGAUCACCAUCCAUACAGGCAGUUAAUAAACGUCGCCGCCUUGCUUCUGAUUCUGAAACGGCUGAAAAGCAAAUGGCCGUGGCUUUUGGUCAAUUAACGAAUGUUUUAAGUCAAAAACAGAAUGAAAAUAGACCUCCUUACAAAGAAGAUGAUUGCGAUCUAUAUGCUAAAUUAUUGGCUAUAAAGCUACGUGAACUGCCAAAUGAUGAACGAAAAAUUAUGAUGUACCAAAUAGAUGGGUUGUUUAUAAACAGAAUCAGUCAAAAAUCAAAUGAGCGUCAUACACCAUACCCUCAAUAUUAUUCUCGACCUUCCUCAAUUGCUGGUUCAUAUUCACGCCAUACACCAUCUCCUCAAGUCAUUCAGAGUCGGCCAACAUCAGUUAAUAGCGUUUAUUCUGAACCUAUACAUAACACUCAAAGUUUUUUUCCCUCUCCAUACACAGAAACCUCUCAUUCAGUGCCAAACACAACAGAACAUAUACCAACUCCAAUACCUCCAGCUCCAUCUACAUAUUCUACAUCAACAGCACCCCUGUCAUCUAUUCGUAUAAUAUCGGACCAAAUCCUCAACCCACCCCCGCGAGACACCAACAUUAUAAACUUAGCUUUAUUGAAUGCUUUCGAAGAUUUUGAGUCGUCAAAAUAAUUCUUAUUUAAGGUUAAAUAUAAAGUUAAAUAAUUAAGCUGUAAAAAAGUUUCCUAUGAAUCAAUUAAAACCUAAACAAAUGUAUAACAA